rnacentral:rRNA from 1 species
UGGGGAAUAUUGCACAAUGGGGGAAACCCUGAUGCAGCGAUGCCGCGUGGAGGAAGAAGGUUUUCGGAUUGUAAACUCCUGUCUUAAAGGACGAUAAUGACGGUACUUUAGGAGGAAGCUCCGGCUAACUACGUGCCAGCAGCCGCGGUAAUACGUAGGGAGCGAGCGUUGUCCGGAAUUACUGGGUGUAAAGGGAGCGUAGGCGGGACGGCAAGUCAGAUGUGAAAUACAUGGGCUCAACCCAUGGGCUGCAUUUGAAACUGCUGUUCUUGAGUGAAGUAGAGGUAAGCGGAAUUCCUGGUGUAGCGGUGAAAUGCGUAGAUAUCAGGAGGAACACCGGUGGCGAAGGCGGCUUACUGGGCUUUUACUGACGCUGAGGCUCGAAAGCGUGGGGAGCAAACAGG